GGGCUUGACAUCCCACGAACCUGGGGGAAACCUCGGGGUGCCCGCAAGGGAGCGCGGAGACAGGUGGUGCAUGGCUGUCGUCAGCUCGUGUCGUGAGAUGUUGGAUUAAGUUCCGCAACGAGCGCAACCCUCGUCCUCUGUUGCCAUCACGUUAUGGUGGGCACUCUGAGGAGACUGCCGGUGACAAACCGGAGGAAGGUGGGGAUGACGUCAAGUCAGCAUGGCCUUUAUGUCUGGGGCCACACACGUGCUACAAUGGCCGGUACAAACCGUUGCGAUCCCGCGAGGGGGAGCUAAUCGGAGAAAGCCGGUCUCAGUUCGGAUCGCAGGCUGCAACUCGCCUGCGUGAAGUCGGAAUCGCUAGUAAUCGCGGAUCAGCACGCCGCGGUGAAUACGUUCCCGGGCCUUGUACACACCGCCCGUCACAUCACGAAAGCCGGCUGUACUCGAAGUCGCUGAG
rnacentral:rRNA from 1 species